GGACCGGUGGGUUGGUCGUGCCUCCGGUACGUACUGGUCUUACUGGUUCCUCCCUUCUGACGAACCACGAUGUCAUUAAUUUGGUGUCGUGGGGAAUCAGGACUGUUACUUUGAAAAAAUUAGAGUGUUUAAAGCAGGCUAAAGCUUGAAUAGAUUAGCAUGGAAUAACGAAAUAGGACGUUUGAUCUUAUUUUGUUGGUUUCUAAGAUCGACGUA
rnacentral:rRNA from 1 species